rnacentral:rRNA from 1 species
AUUGAACGCUGGCGGCAUGCCUUACACAUGCAAGUCGAACGGUAACAGGUCUUCGGAUGCUGACGAGUGGCGAACGGGUGAGUAAUACAUCGGAACGUGCCCGAGAGUGGGGGAUAACGAGGCGAAAGCUUUGCUAAUACCGCAUACGAUCUCAGGAUGAAAGCAGGGGACCGCAAGGCCUUGCGCUCACGGAGCGGCCGAUGGCAGAUUAGGUAGUUGGUGGGAUAAAAGCUUACCAAGCCGACGAUCUGUAGCUGGUCUGAGAGGACGACCAGCCACACUGGGACUGAGACACGGCCCAGACUCCUACGGGAGGCAGCAGUGGGGAAUUUUGGACAAUGGGCGCAAGCCUGAUCCAGCCAUGCCGCGUGCAGGAUGAAGGCCUUCGGGUUGUAAACUGCUUUUGUACGGAACGAAAAGACUCUGGUUAAUACCUGGGGAGCUGAGAGUACCGGAAGAAUAAGCACCGGCUAACUACGUGCCAGCCGCCGCCGUAACAC